rfam:Trichobilharzia regenti genome assembly, scaffold: TRE_scaffold0003086
GUACUGAUGAAGAGUCCCAAACUAGGACGAAACAUCUGUCCGGUAC